AUGAAGGCAGAGGCUGCCCCCUCGCCCUGCGCUGAGCCGCGGGGCACCUCCGGCUGGGGAACCUCGGCGGGGGCCCUGACUGCUCGCCCGUGGGGCCUGACUUGGGAAAUCUUGGCUUCUCCUCGGCGCCUGGCUGCCCCCGCCCCCAGCGGGACCCUGCCUGGCGCCUCUCAGCUCCAAGGAGGCCCCGUUCCCAGGAGCGCGGUCAGCGUGACCGGCUUUGGUGAUGCGCCCCCCACCCCGGGCCUGCUGUGUGCCUGCCUAUGCCCACCCAGGAGCCCUGGACAUGGUGACGGGCCCUCAGACGUGCCCCUGGGGAGCCCAGCCUGGCCCAAUCUGGUGCUCACACAGGGCCGGGCUGGGCCCGCCCUCUCUGGGGCCACAUGGAGGCCGGAGAUCCCUCCUGCGGGGGGAGGCAGGCCCCUCGGAGCGGCGGGCAUCCUGAACUGGCAUCGGGGACAAAGGGGCCUGGGGCUCUCACCCUCGGUGUGGGCAGGGAGGAGCCCGAGCUGGGUGGUGAGGGGUAUGGCGGGGGGCCGACCGCCAAGUCCUGCCCUGUGCGGGGGCCGCCAGCCCCAGGCCAGGCGUGGGGAUGGACUGGCAAAGGGCAGGGCCGCAGGACGUCCGUGGGCUGGGCUGUCCCCACCACCUGCGCUGGAGCUCGGGGCACAGCCGGGACGCCACCUGCCCUGGGGUCGCCUGGUGAACCCCGAUGGCCCCUCCAGACAGAACCGGCCGAGCCCAGACCCCUCCGCCAGGCGCCGUCCUCCAACCAACAGCCUGGGUGGCCUUGUGCUGGACCGUGUUUCCCCAGAGAUGAGCCCACAGUGUGGGCACCUUCCAAGGGGCCGUCAGCGAGACGCAGGACCCACAUGGCAAUGGGCCCCUGGGCUUCCCGGCGGCCACUGUGGCUCCCCUGCCCCUGCUGUCCCGAGAGGGCACCUGGUGUGCGAGGCGGCUGGGGGUGAGGUGCCGCGCGGCCCCUAUGCACCAUGCGGGGGGCUGGUGCCACUGCUGGGAGCUGUGUGCUCACAAGUGUGCGUGCGUGUGCACUAG
rnacentral:lncRNA from 1 species